GGCCUGUUGGUCAAGGGGUAUGAUUCCAGCUUUGGGUGCAGGAGGUCCCGGGUUCAAAUCCCGGACAGGCCC
rnacentral:tRNA from 1 species